GGUAGUGUGGCUGAGUGGUCUUAGGUACUGGAUUAAGGCUCCAGUCUCUUUGGGGGGGUGUGGGUUUGAAUCCCACUGCUGCUG